rnacentral:tRNA from 1 species
CGGACAGUCAAGUGGUUUAAGCGUUAGACUUUUACUCAAAAGGUCAGUGGUUCGAGUCCAAGGUUUGG